AUUAACAGGAUUAGAUACCCUGGUAGUCCACGCCCUAAACGAUGGAUACUAGGCGUGAGAGGUAUCGACCCCUCUCGUGCCGCAGCUAACGCACUAAGUAUCCCGCCUGGGGAGUACGGCCGCAAGGUUGAAACUCAAAUGAAUUGACGGGGACCCGCACAAGCGGUGGAGCAUGUGGAUUAAUUCGAUACUAACCGAAGAACCUUACCCAGACUUGACAUCGAUCGCAAGCCACUGAAAGGUGGCCCUCCCUCUCAAGGGGACGUGAAGACACUUGUUGCAUGGCUGUCGUCAGCUCGUGCCGUGAGGUGUACGGUUAAGUCCGCCAACGAGCGCAACCCUCGUCCUGUGUUACCAGCAUGAAAGAUGGGGACUCACAGGAGACCGCCGGUGUAAGCCGGAGGAAGGUGGGGAUGACGUCAAGUCAGCAUGGCAGUUGCGUCUGGGGCUUCACACAUGCUACAAUGGGCGAAACAGAGGGCCGCAAAGCCGCGAGGUGGAGCUAAUCCCAAAAAUACGCCCCCAGUUCAGAUUGCAGUCUGCAACUCGACUGCAUGAAGGCGGAAUCGCUAGUAAACGCAGGUCAGCUAUACUGCGUUGAAUACGUUCCCGGGUCUUGUACACACCGCCCGUCAAGUCACUUGAAUCGUCUUCACCCGAAGCCCGUGGCCCAACCGCAAGGAGGGAGCGGUCGAAGGUGAAGGGGGUAAGAGGGACUAAGUCGUAACAAGGUAGCCAAU
rnacentral:rRNA from 1 species